rnacentral:rRNA from 1 species
AGUGAACGCUGGCGGUAGGCCUAACACAUGCCAGUCGAACGGCAGCACAGUAAGAGCUUGCUCUUACGGGUGGCGAGUGGCGGACGGGUGAGGAAUACAUCGGAAUCUACUUUUUCGUGGGGGAUAACGUAGGGAAACUUACGCUAAUACCGCAUACGACCUACGGGUGAAAGCAGGGGAUCUUCGGACCUUGCGCGAUUGAAUGAGCCGAUGUCGGAUUAGCUAGUUGGCGGGGUAAAGGCCCACCAAGGCGACGAUCCGUAGCUGGUCUGAGAGGAUGAUCAGCCACACUGGAACUGAGACACGGUCCAGACUACUACGGGAGGAAGCAGUGGGGAAUAUUGGACAAUGGGCGCAAGCCUGAUCCAGACAUACCGCGUGGGUGAAGAAGGCCUUCGGGUUGUAAAGCCCUUUUGUUGGGAAAGAAAAGCAGUAGGUUAAUACCCCGCUGUUCUGACGGUACCCAAAGAAGAAGCACCGGCUAACUUCGUG